CAUGAAAUAUCCAAAAGCUUUUCAUUUUCCGCUUCUCCUCCUUCCCCUUCUCUGGUUCCCGCUUCUCUCUCCUUCCCCUCUUCGGUUCUUUGAUCAUUCCCCUUCUCUGGUUUCUAAAAAGCUGCUGAUGUUCCCCCUACCGCCGACGCUGUUCCCCUACCGCCGACGCUUCCUCUUCCAGCCGUGGGUUAAAAACCCUAAUUUGUAAUUGUAACCUGCUUGUUGAUAUUGAUUGAGGUUGUUUUGAGCAGUUGAGCUUUAUGAUUCAACCUCUAGUGAGCGUCGCUUCUCUUGCCACUCGUAUCAAUUCCGAGGUUUGUUUACUUAAUUUUUGUUUUACAUAUUCUUUCUAUGUAUUUGAAGCUUUAUUUUUCUAGGGUUUCUUUGUAUUUCAGACUCUAAAUUUUUAUAAUUGAUUUUUGGUUGAUAUUGGGGUGACAAAUUCGAUUGGGGGAGGAGAAGAGAAAUCAGAAGAGUUUGCAUUUUUUUCCCAUCAACCUUCAACAUCGAACUCGUAAGGAGGUUUGUUAAUCUAAUUUCUUAAAUUUACUUCUAAACUAGUAUUUGAUUUUGUGUUUGAUCUAGUGUCUUCUAUAUUGUAGCUUUCUUUUUUCUUGUUUUGGUGGGUAAAAAUUUAAAAUUUUUUGGGUGCAUAAUGUAAUGAAAUAGUUUUAAUAUCAUUCUAAUUAGAGGGAAGUCAGUCUAAUUACAGUGAAGGUGAUUUAUGCCAGCUGGUUUUUUAGGAGUUUCUUAUGUAUGGAGGCUGUUAGGGUCUUUGUGAGGGGUUUGUGUGAGUGCAGGGGGGCUGUUUUGUGUGUCUUAGGGUGGGUUAUAAUUGGCAAGUAUGCAAGGGCUCUGAUCUUUAGGUAGGGUAUCUCUGGUUUGAGUACAUAUACAAGCUAGAUUAAAUUACGUAUUAUAAGUUUCAUCCUUACACCUCAUGGAUCUCAAUUACAUAAGUAUCACUUACCCUAUAUGUAAGCUUAAUUACUAUAAUCAUAAAUUUGAAAUUCUGAUUCUUUUAUGUUCUCCGAUCACUGAUCACGGGCCAUUUAAUUCCAGAUACUCUUGUUACAGUUGAGUUAAAACUUUCUUGUGCUAGCUCUUAAGUAGGUAUUACACAUUAUUGGUCUACUUUCCAAGUUAAUAGGCAUAGAUAUGUUGUUAUAUCAAUGCUUCAAUUCUUAGAGGAAUGGAAAGAGAAACGGAGGUGAGAAAUAGAGGAAGGUUCAUAUUAAUAAUUUUUUGAGUGGUUUAUGAAGAUCAUGGAUGCUUUUGUGGCUCCUCUCAUUUCUGUCUACAUUACAGCUUUGCAUAUGCAAUUUGGGUACACGGCAAGUUUGCCUUUUAUAUUUCUCAUAAUUCACUUUCAAAAUUUCAAACACAAAUACAUUGAUGUCAAGAAAGAAAACUAGUUGCCAAUACCAUAAGUAUCACUUACCCUAUUUGUAAGCUUAAUUACUAUAAUCAUAAAUUUGAAAUUCUGAUUCCUUUAUGUUAUCCAAUCACUAGUGUCAACAUAUUCAUAAGGAAUGUUACCCAUCACUUAUGAAGCUACUCGUUAAGAGUUUUUGCGGAAGUAGCCUUCAAGGCUACCUAUGCACGUUUCAAUUUGGGAUACAAUGUGGAUGAUGUCUGAUGGUGUUUGUUGUCUUAUUACUUCUGUUUUGUGGUUUAAACUUGGUUUCGCAUAUGGCUUGGCAAGAUCGCAUUGGAGAUUUAUAUCUCACAGUUUCACAUAUGGCUAAGGUUAGUAAUGUCAUAAUUUAUACUGAUAUUAUGUUACAGUAUGUAUUUGGAGGCUUGCUUGAGAUCAAAAUUUAUGCAACGCUGUCCAGACUUAUUUCUCAACCUUUUUGACCUUGAAAGAAGUUCCCCCCUUUUAUCCAAUCCUAACCCAUUCUUUCAAGUCUCGGAGUACAUUUUGCAACUCUGCUUAAAUGGAAUCUAAUGUUCGUUUUCGUUUUCAGAUGUAGUAUCCCCGAUGGACCAUCCAAGUUGUUGUUGUCAUUUAUCCCAGGUUACCCAUUUCUGAACUUCAUGCUUAUCACCAGUAUAUAUGUGACUGUAGGUUUCAUAUAGGCUAUUUGAAUUAACAAACACUUUAAAAGUGGCAUUUGUUCUAAGAAAAGGCAACAAAAGGUUGACAAACAACAUGGUAGGAGCUUUGGCUAUCUCCUGUAUGGGUGCUUGUCUGUAUUCAACAAUAUGAGGGAGAAACCUUUCAUCACCGUGGGAAUAAAUGAAGUUUGAGACAAGUUUGACAAAAUUCUUUACUAGUGAUUAUAUUUCAUAUUUUCUUGUAAUGAAUCUUAGAUUAUGGAUUCUAGUUUUUCAUAUGAUUGUAAUGUAAUCGACUUUUAGAUUUACAAUUAUAUACUAUUUUAUUUAAUUAUCUAAAUAAUUAGAUACUUUUUAUGUGA